UAAGCAUAUCAAUAAGCGGAGGAAAAGAAACUAACAAGGAUUCCCCUAGUAACUGCGAGUGAAGCGGGAAAAGCUCAAAUUUAAAAUCUGGCAGCUUUCAGUUGUCCGAGUUGUAGUCUAGAGAAGUGUUUUCCGCGUUGGACCGUGUACAAGUCUCUUGGAACAGAGCGUCAUAGAGGGUGAGAAUCCCGUCUUUGACACGGACUACCAAUGCUAUGUGAUGCGCUCUCAAAGAGUCGAGUUGUUUGGGAAUGCAGCUCAAAAUGGGUGGUAAAUUCCAUCUAAAGCUAAAUAUUGGCGAGAGACCGAUAGCGAACAAGUACCGUGAGGGAAAGAUGAAAAGCACUUUGGAAAGAGAGUUAAACAGUACGUGAAAUUGCUGAAAGGGAAACGCUUGAAGUCAGUCGCGUUAGUUAGAACUCAGCUAGGCUUGCCUGGUGCAUUUUCUAAUUUAACGGGCCAGCAUCAAUUUUGGCUGCGGGAUAAAGGUCAGAGAAAUGUGGCAGCUUCGGCUGUGUUAUAGUCUCUGGCUGCAUACCGUGACCGGGAUUGAGGAUCUCAGCACGCAUUGGUUGUUGCUUAGGAUGCUGGCGUAAUGGCUUUAAACGACCCG
rnacentral:rRNA from 1 species